UUAACGCCGCGGUAUCCUGACCGUGCAAAGGUAGCAUAAUCACUUGCCUAUUAAUUGUAGGCUAGAAUGAAAGGACAAACGAGAAUACACCUGUCUCCUUUAAGCCCCUAAAAAUUUAUCUUUAAGUGAAGAAGCUUAAAUAAACGUGCAGGACAAGAAGACCCUAUAGAGCUUUACCUAUAAGCCACAUAAACAGUGGUUAGCGGUUCGGUUGGGGCGACCAGGGGAUACUAACCACCCCUAAAUUAUAAGAUCAACUAAUCCUAUCAUAGAUCCUUUAUCAAGAUCAAAGAAUCAAGCUACCUUAGGGAUAACAGGCUAAUCCUCUUAGAGAGCCCUUAUCGACAAGAGGGGUUGGCACCUCGAUGUUGGCUU
rnacentral:rRNA from 1 species